UGACGACAUCGAGGAGCGACGGUUUCAGUUUCCGGAACUAUUUAUACCUCCACCCUGCUUCUGGAUGCCACCUCACCUGCGAAGUGAGGUUUGUGACUCACUGGUAUCACGACCCUGCUGGGGUGCCCCUCGCUGCAAGGCAAUGACGCACCCUCAUCGGUGGCAACAGCCCUUCUUUGAGAUUAGCCAAUCAUAUGGCAGCUCAUCAUCCUCUGUCAGUGAGUCAAUGUGGCGGUGGUGGAGGAGGAGGAGAUGUUUUAACUGGUGAGCUUCUUUGGAUUCAUGCGACAAUUCCUGAGAAAUGGUCAAUAUUUAUCAAAG